AAUAGAUACCCCUGGUAGUCCACGCCGUAAACGAUGAGUGCUAAGUGUUAGAGGGUUUCCGCCCUUUAGUGCUGCAGCAAACGCGUUAAGCACUCCGCCUGGGGAGUACGGUCGCAAGACUGAAACUCAAAGGAAUUGACGGGGGCCCGCACAAGCGGUGGAGCAUGUGGUUUAAUUCGAAGCAACGCGAAGAACCUUACCAGGUCUUGACAUCCUUCGCUACUUCUAGAGAUAGAAGGUUCCCCUUCGGGGGACGGAGUGACAGGUGGUGCAUGGUUGUCGUCAGCUCGUGUCGUGAGAUGUUGGGUUAAGUCCCGCAACGAGCGCAACCCUUGACCUUAGUUGCCAGCAUUUAGUUGGGCACUCUAAGGUGACUGCCGGUGACAAACCGGAGGAAGGUGGGGAUGACGUCAAAUCAUCAUGCCCCUUAUGACCUGGGCUACACACGUGCUACAAUGGAUGGUACAAAGGGCUGCAAGACUGCGAAGUCAAGCCAAUCCCAUAAAACCAUUCUCAGUUCGGAUUGCAGGCUGCUAACC
rnacentral:rRNA from 1 species